rnacentral:rRNA from 1 species
UACGUAGGUGGCAAGCGUUGUCCGGAAUUAUUGGGCGUAAAGCGCGCGCAGGCGGUUCCUUAAGUCUGAUGUGAAAGCCCCCGGCUCAACCGGGGAGGGUCAUUGGAAGCUGGGGAACUUGAGUGCAGAAGAGAAGAGCGGAAUUCCACGUGUAGCGGUGAAAUGCGUAGAGAUGUGGAGGAACACCAGUGGCGAAGGCGGCGACCUGGGUAGAUACUGACGCUGAGGUGCGAAAGCGUGGGGAGCAAACAGG